rnacentral:rRNA from 1 species
UACAGAGGUCCCGAGCGUUGUUCGGAUUCACUGGGCGUAAAGGGUGCGUAGGUGGCAUGGUAAGUUUGAUGUGAAAGCUCAGGGCUUAACCCUGAAAUGGCAUUGAAUACUACUGUGCUGGAGGUUUGGAGGGGGGACUGGAAUUCUUGGUGUAGCAGUGAAAUGCGUAGAUAUCAGGAGGAACACCGGUGGCGAAGGCGGGUCUCUGGGCAGUAACUGACGCUGAGGAGCGAAAGCGUGGGGAGCGAACAGG